rnacentral:rRNA from 1 species
CAGUCGAACGAAGUUUUUCUUUCGGGAGGAACUUAGUGGCGGACGGGUGAGCAAUGCGUGGGUAACCUGCCCUGUACAGGGGGACAACAGCUGGAAACGGCUGCUAAUACCGCAUAAGCCCUUAGCACUGCAUGGUGCAUAGGGAAAAGGAGCAAUCCGGUACAGGAUGGACCCGCGUCUGAUUAGCCAGUUGGCAGGGUAACGGCCUACCAAAGCGACGAUCAGUAGCCGAUCUGAGAGGAUGUACGGCCACAUUGGGACUGAGACACGGCCCAGACUCCUACGGGAGGCAGCAGUGGGGAAUAUUGCACAAUGGAGGAAACUCUGAUGCAGCGACGCCGCGUGAGUGAAGAAGUAUUUCGGUAUGUAAAGCUCUAUCAGCAGGGAAGAAAAUGACGGUACCUGACUAAGAAGCACCGGCUAAAUACGUGCCAGCAGCCGCGGUAAUACGUAUGGUGCAAGCGUUAUCCGGAUUUACUGGGUGUAAAGGGAGCGUAGGUGGCAAGGCAAGCCAGAAGUGAAAACCCGGGGCUCAACCGCGGGAUUGCUUUUGGAACUGUCAUGCUAGAGUGCAGGAGGGGUGAGCGGAAUUCCUAGUGUAGCGGUGAAAUGCGUAGAUAUUAGGAGGAACACCGGAGGCGAAGGCGGCUCACUGGACUGUAACUGACACUGAGGCUCGAAAGCGUGGGGAGCAAACAGGAUUAGAUACCCUGGUAGUCCACGCGGUAAACGAUGAAUACUAGAUGUCGGGUAGCACAGCUACUCGGUGUCGUCGCAAACGCAAUAAGUAUUCCACCUGGGGAGUACG